GCUGCCUUAGCUCAGUUGGUAGAGCAGUCGCCUCGUAAGCGACAGGUGAGCGGUUCGAUCCCGCUAGGCAGCUC
rnacentral:tRNA from 1 species